rnacentral:rRNA from 1 species
UGGGGAAUCUUGCGCAAUGGGCGAAAGCCUGACGCAGCGACGCCGCGUGGGUGAUGAAGGCCUUCGGGUUGUAAAGCCCUGUGGAGAGGGACGAAUAAGUUCGACCUAAUACGUCGGGCGAUGACGGUACCUCUUUAGCAAGCACCGGCUAACUCUGUGCCAGCAGCCGCGGUAAGACAGAGGGUGCAAACGUUGUUCGGAAUUACUGGGCGUAAAGCGCGUGUAGGCGGUCGUGCAAGUCGGGUGUGAAAGCCCAGGGCUCAACCCUGGAAGUGCAUUCGAUACUGCAUGGCUAGAGUCCCGGAGAGGAUGGUGGAACUCUCGGUGUAGAGGUGAAAUUCGUAGAUAUCGAGAAGAACACCGGUGGCGAAGGCGGCCAUCUGGACGGUGACUGACGCUGAGACGCGAAAGCGUGGGGAGCAAACA